UGACACAAUACAUUCGACAAACAGGAGAAUGUAUUAUAACAAAAUGGGGGUACUGCUUAAGGGAGAAAAAUAUAAAUGAUGUCGUUCCGUUAUAUCUACCAACAGGGUCACAUUCAUUUUAUAAUUAAUUGUCAAAACGUGUUCGAUCAGAUUCUUGGUCACUAUCAGAUUCGUAGCAACUAUUAUUUGGUUAUUUCAAAGUUUAUAUAUCUAGUUUUUAAAUGAUAAAAUACCUAGUUUUAUCUAUUAACUCCGGUUUUAAAACGGGGAGAAUCUGCUUCUGUGGAACUCAAGGCUACACUUUAGUGCCGUUUAAGAAACGCCCCUUGGAACUCGCCCCCCUCAAUUACCGCAGAGUUGUUCGAUGUGGCUCUUCAAUGGUCGGGGUCGCGGGGAAGCUGGAGCCUAUCUGUCAAGCAUUGGGCGCAGGGCAUGAACAAUUCCUGGAAACCAAUUACACUUCGCAACAUAUUUAGAUUUUGGACAAGAGGAGCUCCAGUUUUAAAACGGGUUUUGCCACUUCCAGUGCAAGUACACAAGUUCACUGACAAACUUUGCACACUUAAGGGGGCCGAGGAACCGGUAUAACCGUCGCCUGCCUAGCCCAUUAUUGGUAAAUCACGGGCAAGAAAAUUGAGAAUCUGGAUGCAUUCUUGAAGAUGAUUAACUUAUUGAAGCCUUAAACUACAAAACCAAGGGGGUUUCCUUGAUAUACCACUAUUAGAAAUUGGACAGUGUAUGCACUGAAAUUUUCAGUUUUGUUUUAGUCCAGCAUACUAAUACCUACGAUGAAGAGAUGUGAGCUUUCAAAACAAGAACGGGAUAAAGUGGUUGAAUUGUAUAGAAGGGGAGCAGGUUAUAAGACGAUUUCAAAGUCUUUAUUUAUCCCCCUGAGUACAGUGAAAUCCAUUGUGAAGAAGUGGGUUAUGUAUCAGACUACCGAGACAUUGCCAAGAUCAGGCCGUCCUGCCAAACUAACUGCCCGGCUAAACAGGAAGCUCAUUAAGGAAGCAACUAACAGACCAACUGUAACUUUGAAAGAUCUGCAAGAUACUAUGUCUCAGAUGGGAGUAAAUGUUCACACAUCAACAAUAUCUCGGUCCCUCCACAAAGCGGGCCUUUGUAAAGUCAUGUCAAAAAAGAGGGAGCUGUUGAAAAAGACCCCUCUUAAAAACGUUUCCAAGGAAACCAAACAAAACCUGGAAAGUUCAGGUUAAAUUGGAAAUGUUUCCUCCUUUUUCAUGUAUGAUAGCUUUGUGUUUCAAAGAUUAGCAUUAAACUAUUGAAGUCCCGUUGUGAUCCAAAUUUAGAAUUAAAAUUCAUUUUAAUUUUGGAUGGGUAUAUCUAAAAAUUAGAGAACCAUCCCUGUGGUCCAAAACACAGUAUAACUGUGUUGUAGUUACAGGCCUUUUUUUAGGUGAGGGUACUGAAAAAAGUGUUUGGGACUGGGGAGACCCUGACGGUUUUGCACCAAAUGUAGUAACUGCUAAAAGUGCACUUAAGAAGUUGCUCAUAUUUAUUGGAAUGGCAUUUCCAAGAUAAAUUUCUGAUGGACUAAAAAUGGUUCCUUAAAGGAUACACUACCGCUCAAAAGUUUUAGAACACCUCGGUUGUUCUUCAGAUUUAAUCAUUUGAAGUUCAAUGAAUGACCUAAAAUCAAAAUUUGAAAUCUUCGGUUCAUCCCACAGGGUGUUCUUAUGCCAUUGAUUUGGUGAAAGAUUGGUUCCUCAGUGUGUAACACCAACUGUCAAACAUGGAGGAAGAAGUGUGAUACCCUGGAGUUCUUUUGCUGGAGGAAGAGCUGGUGACCUGCACAGAGCAACUGGCUCUCUGAGUCGAAGGGGUUACCACAGUUUGGCUGUUAUAUUAGCAAGAGGUGGCUACUUUGAUGAACCAAAAAUGAAUACAAUUUUGUACACUUGAUUCCUUGACUUUAUUUAUUUUAUUUAUUAAAUAAAAAAAAAAAGUUGUACUAUGCUUGAUUUAAUGAAAAAGUAAAACCUUGAACUGAAAACUGAGGGUUCUAAAACAUUUGACUGCCAAUAUGUGUGUGUGUUUUUAGGUUUUUUUUUUUUUUUUCCCCAUUUUUUUUUUGUUUACAAUCAUGGUGUAUAUUAAUGUUCCAUGUGAAAUUGUUCUAAAGUGAAGUGUGUGGUGUUUUUUUUUUUUUGUUUUUUUUUUCGUAAUUUCUAGCAAAUCUCAUAACUGUUCUUGCAGUUUAAAAUCCAAAUGUGAAAAUAAAAUGAAAGCCUUAAAGCUUAAGGUAUAUCUCCAUAUUUUUAUUUUUCCUCCCAAGCCAAGGGUGUCAAUUUCAAUAUUGAUCUAUGUCUAAAGAUAGAUACAUGGUUUGACAGUAUGUUCAGUGUUUUUUUUCCUCCAUUUUAAAGGGAGACCCGCUUCUCAUCUCCUUCUGUGGCAUUCUUUCAGCUGCAGGCAUGUGGUUUCAUUUUGAAAAGUCCCCUUCAAGCACUGUUAUUGAAUGUUAUGGCCAAAUGUGAAUUUCUGUCUCUGUUCAAUAGACAUAGAAUAAUUACAGAAAGUGCAAAAUGCUAAGUUUUCAUUGGCAUUAUGGUAUGUAUUUGCCUUGACUGUUUCAAAAAUCUGAGGAUUUAAUUUUUUUUGUACAAAUUGUAGUCAAACUCUUGUGUUCCCAACAUGCACCAUGCUCUAACAUUGAAUGAAUCUCGCUCUGCAGGCUACAUAAAGUAUAAUGGCACAGAAUCUAACAAAUGAAAGCAACCCCUGCCACCAUGGCCUCAGUCUUCAUGCCCCAUAAGUCAUGUUUUAAGUUGUAUAAAAAUAUAUAUAUAUAUAUAUAUAUAUAUAUAUAUAUAUAUAAAUCACCAGGUAGGGCAUUUAAUUCAACCCCCCCACCCCAUCUUUAGAGCUCCUGGCACAGAGUAGAAAGGGCAAAAUGCAGGUGGCAGUUGGUGAUGGAUAUUUAGAUUCCCAGUAGUGAUUCAAUUCAAAUUACCUGUGUAAGUGAAUCAGUUUUUGAUUAAUUUAGAAUCAAGCAUGUGGCAAGUCGCAUGGGUGUCCCCUGUGAUCGCAUCACAAAUUUAUAAUUUGCACUUUUUUUUUUUAUGUGGGUGUGUAUAUAAAUAUUGCUUGUUAAUUUAUUGAUGUGUGUGUGUAUAAUACAUACGCCAUUGUCUUGUAUCCGUACAUAGACCAUAGCACCAUUAAGUUGCAAAACUGAAAUAAGAUGUUUUGUUACAGACAGAAUUGUAACUCGUAAAUUAUUCAACCAUGAACCAAAUGAACAAAAAUGGGUAGACUGAUUCUCAAGUUGUGAUUCAUUUGCGAAUCAAAUGAACAAGAAUCAUCAGACGGAAUCAUUGGUGGUGAAUAGUUUACAAACUAAAUGCGUCGACGGUUAUUGCACAUGCAUUUUAAACUUCUGCUGCUAGCGAAAAGAAAAACCGUGACAUCAUACAAGACACACGUGCACUUCAGCACUCUCGCUGAACUCCACUAAAUAGAUUUCAUGCAUGCCCACAAAUACAUUCAUAUGAUUAAGAAAAAUAGUUUGUAAAUUAGCAAUCACUAGUGGUGGCACACUUACAGAAACAGGAGACUCAACCGUAUAUGAAAAUGCAACAGUAAAUAAACUUUCAUUGCUUGAUACUGAUAUACAUCAGAGAUUAUACCAAAGCUGUAGCUGAAAGGACUGAUGGCUCUUGACUUUUUAUAUAAGGCACCAUUAUUUGGCAAUCAUGUGAUUCCAGUGUGCAUUUGUCAGACUGCUAUGUCUAUGUGUGAUAUAGCAUGUUUGUCAGCACCACAUGUACAAAAUUAUUUCUUUACACAAAUAACAAAGGAAAAAAUUUGUUUUGGGUUUUGAAGUGCACUCUCACAGUAGUUUUGAUGGCAAAUCCUUGCUGAAAUAAAAUUAUUUCAUAGGACACUGCUCUGUUACUGUAUAUCGGACAAUCUGCACACGUUUGUGGGAGGGGGGGGGACAUUGAAGGACAUAGCUCUCAAUAGUCAUUGAUGAAAAAAUUAGAGCCACAAUGGGGGUAGGGGAAUAUGCAGCUAUGGUGAAGAAAUGUGUAUUUGAAGGGCUGUAGUGCCUUGGUGUCAGUGCAGUUUUGGGAUGGAAGUUUUAGAGCAGAUGUUUGUAUUUGCCGGACCGACAUUUUCUUCACAUGGAUAGAAAAGUAAACCUCAAGUGUAGCAUGCUGUACAUGCAGUUUGAUUUAAAAUAUAAAACCAUUAAACUUAUCUAGGCAUUUGCUGUACUGAAAGUCUUAACGUUGGGUGGAAGGUUUGUCAUGAAGAAUGUGGAUAUCAUUCACACUAAACUCUAAAAUCCACUAAACCCGUCCUAAAUCUGCAUUGAGCUCAUGACGCCUUUAAUACUAAACCCUUACUCCUCAAUCACAGUUCUCAAACUGCCUUGAUGUCAUAGUGUUGUGAAUUUUCAAAUGUAUGAUACUGUACGUGUUAUUGCUGGUCCAUCAGAGCUGCUAUGAGCAGAGAAGCACGUAGGAAAGGUAUCUUUACCUCAAGAAAAAAAAAUUGUACAAGAUGCUGGGAUCAAAUUUUACUUCUAGUUCACAAGUAUUUCUCAGAAAUGUGAGUGGAGUGUUUUCUUAAAUUGGGACCUUUUUGUCGCUUCAUAGUAGCCAUAUUUGGUCAGUUUUAAGGCUUCUUAACUUUGGACCCCUACCCAUUUGGCUUUAUUGUAAAACACAAGAAGAGGCUAGGUAGUUUUUUUGUUUAAAAAAAAAAAAUUAAAAUGCUUAAUUUUAGAGCAAAAUGUCUUGACAUAAAUAUAUUAUACACACACACCAUGAUUGUGAACAAACAAGUUUUUUUUUUAAAUCUUAAACUAACCCUUUAAAGGGUAUCUGGUAGCUGAGUCAUGGCAACUGGACUCCUUUUCUUGCUUGGAUGAGCAGUGAAAUCUACCUCACAAGAAGCGCAGUUGCCAUGACUCAACUACCAGAUUUCACCUGGAUGACUGAGAAUCUUCACAGACAUCUUUAAAGGGUAUGUUUUGGUAUUUUUCCAAGUCAAAGUUACUUCACAAACUUGGCAUAUAAUAAUUUGUCACAUUAAAAUUGUGCUUCUAAUAAAUUUUAAACAUACCUUGUGUUUCAGAUUACAAUGGGUUCAUGAGUCCAGAAGUGACAAAAGCCUCAAAACAAAUGUAAAUUUUUCAAGCUAAACAUGUCAUCGUGUAUCCAUCGGUGUAUUGAGAUUGUAUACACACUGCAGAAUAAAGUGUUGAGAUUCAGAAAUUUCAAAA